CCUACGGGUGGCAGCAGUGGGGAAUAUUGGACAAUGGGCGAAAGCCUGAUCCAGCCAUGCCGCGUGUGUGAAGAAGGCCUUCGGGUUGUAAAGCACUUUCAGUGGGGAAGAAAGCCUUGGGGCUAAUACCCUCGAGGAAGGACAUCACCAACAGAAGAAGCACCGGCUAACUCCGUGCCAGCAGCCGCGGUAAUACGGAGGGUGCGAGCGUUAAUCGGAAUUACUGGGCGUAAAGCGCGCGUAGGCGGUCUGAUAAGCCGGUUGUGAAAGCCCCGGGCUCAACCUGGGAACGGCAUCCGGAACUGUCAGGCUAGAGUGCAGGAGAGGAAGGUAGAAUUCCCGGUGUAGCGGUGAAAUGCGUAGAGAUCGGGAGGAAUACCGGUGGCGAAGGCGGCCUUCUGGACUGACACUGACGCUGAGGUGCGAAAGCGUGGGUAGCAAACAGGAUUAGAUACCCGAGUAGUC
rnacentral:rRNA from 1 species